rnacentral:lncRNA from 1 species
GCUGCACAAUUAGGAGUAGGAGUAUGUAGAAUAUAUAAACAAAUUUUAAGAUAAGUUACUAGUUGGUUGUUGACAACCUCGAGAAUUAGACUAAUGAUUAGGCAGUUUAGUUGGCAACAAUAGGUUGUUAGUUGAACAAAUGGUUAAGAAUUCAAAUGGUCAUAACCUUUGAAAUCCAUUGGCUGAUGGAUCAUCUUUUGGGUAGGAUAAAGAGGUUGAGGAAAGAGAGAUCGGGGCCAGUUUGGGAGAGUCGUAAGCCGAGGGGCCAGACUAAAAAAGUCAUAAGCCGGGGUAAGCUUGGUGCUACUUAUUUAUUUUUUUUGCUUUUAUUAUUUUCUUAUGAAGAAUUGUGAUUGAGAGAAGUAUUAUUGAAAUUGUGAUUAGAAUAUUGUGGAAUAUGACUUUGGACUGACCGAUUUGGAGAAAAUCUGUGACCUUGAGAAUUGAGAUUAUCAAAUUGUGUUGUAUUAAGUGAAGAUAUUGAAUUGUGUAUGAUGAAUUGAGAAACUAAAUAUAAUAAGUAAGCUGAAGAUCAGUAAUUAAAUAUAUAUAAACUGCAAAGACAAUAAGUGAGAGAUGAGCAGAUAAGAAUAUGGAAGUAUUGUUGAAUUGAUAGUCAAAGAAUGGAUUAUGUGUUGAAUUAAGAUGGAAGUAGUAAGCCUUGGUGUUUUGUAGUUUGAUAAUUGAUUUCAGAUAGUCAGAGUA